rnacentral:rRNA from 1 species
UGGGGAAUAUUGGACAAUGGGGGAAACCCUGAUCCAGCCAUGCCGCGUGAGUGAUGAAGGCCUUAGGGUUGUAAAGCUCUUUUGCCGGGGAAGAUGAUGACGGUACCCGGAGAAUAAGCACCGGCUAACUUCGUGCCAGCAGCCGCGGUAAUACGAAGGGUGCUAGCGUUGUUCGGAAUCACUGGGCGUAAAGCGUGCGUAGGCGGCUCGUCAAGCCAGAGGUGAAAUGCCGGAGCUUAACUCCGGAACUGCCUUUGGAACUAGCGAGCUGGAGUAUCGGAGGGGUCAGGGGAAUUCCUAAUGUAGCGGUGAAAUGCGUAGAUAUUAGGAGGAACACCGGUGGCGAAGGCGCCUGACUGGACGAUAACUGACGCUGAGGCACGAAAGCGUGGGGAGCAAA